AUUGAACGCUGGCGGCAGGCCUAACACAUGCAAGUCGAGCGAGCGGCGGACGGGUGAGUAAUGUAUGGGGAAAGCCCGUGAGAGAGGGGUAACUACUGGAAACGGGGGCUAAAACCGCACAUGAUCGGAGAGCCCACAUGGGAUUAGCUAGUAGGUGAGGUAAUGGCUCACCUAGGCGACGAUCCCUAGCUGGGCUGAGAGGAUGAUCAGCCACACUGGGACUGAGACACGGCCCAGACUCCUACGGAGGCAGCAGUGGGGAAUAUUGCACAAUGGGCGCAAGCCUGAUACAGCCAUGCCGCGUGUAUGAAGAAGGCCCUAGGGUUGUAAAGUACUUUCAGUCGGGAGGCGUUACCGACAGAAGAAGCACCGGCUAACUCCGUGCCAGCAGCCGCGGUAAUUC
rnacentral:rRNA from 1 species